UACGAGGGGGGCGAGCGUUGUUCGGAAUUAUUGGGCGUAAAGGGUGCGUAGGCGGUUCCGCAGGUCCUGUGUGAAAUCUUCGGGCUCAACUCGAAGUCUGCACGGGAAACUGCGGGGCUUGAGUGUGGGAGAGGUGAGUGGAAUUCCCGGUGUAGCGGUGAAAUGCGUAGAUAGUCGGGAGGAACACCUGUGGCGAAAGCGGCUCACUGGCUCAUUACUGACGCUCAGGCGCGAUAGCGUGGGGAUCAAACAGG
rnacentral:rRNA from 1 species